AACGAACGCUGGCGGCAUGCCUAACACAUGCAAGUCGAACGAGACCUUCGGGUCUAGUUGCGCACGGGUGCGUAACGCGUGGGAACCUGCCCUUAGGUUCGGAAUAACUCCCCGAAAGGGGUGCUAAUACCGGAUAAUGUCUUCGCACCUAAGAUUUAUGGCCUUUGGAUGGGCGCGCGUUGGAUUCGCUGGUUGGUAGGGGAAAAGCCUGCCAAGGCGACGAUCCAUAGCUGGUCUGAGAGGAUGAUCAGCCACACUGGAGAUGAGACACGGCCCAGACUCGUACGGGGGGGAGCAGUGGGGAAUAUUGGAGAAGGGGGGAAGGCGUGGUCCAGCAGUGCCGGGGAAGUGAGGAAGGCGUUAGUGUUGUGAAUUUCUUUGACCCGGGAUGUGAAUGACAGUACCGGGUAAAGAAGCUCCGGCUAACUCCGUG
rnacentral:rRNA from 1 species